rfam:Schistosoma haematobium scaffold2211_7, whole genome shotgun sequence.
AUCCAGCUGACGAGUCCGGAAUAGAACGAAACGUGCAUCCUGGAU